CUCGUUUACAAACCCUAGCAGCUGUAGUUAUGCUUAUUAAGGAAGCUGACAAACUAACUUGACUGUUCAGGUUCCCCGUGCCUUUUUAGAAUGGUUAAAUAAUAGAGGACAUCAACGACUCUCAAAUAAUAGAGUCACAUACUAUCAGGCCCUCAUCUGGUCACCGAUGAGUUGUUCUCAAGUCAUCUGGAUCUGCAGAAAGACCCGCUGUCUGAUGCUGAUUUUGUCCUCUUCACUGAUGAGAGCAGCUUCAUGGAAAAUGAGCUGUCAAGGUAGCUGAAGUCCAGCUGUGGAUUCAACACACUAGAUUAAAACGGGCCUAUCCAGAGAAUUCCAUGGACUUCGACUCCAGAAACAGUUCAUUCAAAGCCCUGCUCUCACCACACU
rnacentral:lncRNA from 1 species